GCCCUCGUAGCUCAACGGAUAGAGCGCUAACUCCGCAAGUUAGAGGUUGCAGGUUCAAGUCCUGUCGGGGGCA
rnacentral:tRNA from 1 species